rnacentral:rRNA from 1 species
AUUGAACGCUGGCGGCAGGCCUAACACAUGCAAGUCGAACGAGUGGCGGACGGGUGAGUAAUGUUUGGGAAACUGCCUGAUGGAGGGGGAUAACUACUGGAAACGGUAGCUAAUACCGCAUACCAUCGGAUGUGCCCAGAUGGGAUUAGCUAGUUGGUGGGGUAAAGGCUCACCUAGGCGACGAUCCCUAGCGGGUCUGAGAGGAUGAACAGCCACACUGGAACUGAGACACGGCCCAGACUCCUACGGGAGGCAGCAGUGGGGAAUAUUGCACAAUGGGCGCAAGCCUGAUGCAGCCAUGCCGCGUGUAUGAAGAAGGCCUUCGGGUUGUAAAGUACUUUCAGCAGGGAGGCGUUACCUGCAGAAGAAGCACCGGCUAACUCCGUGCCAGCAGCCGCGGUAAUAC